rnacentral:rRNA from 1 species
CCUACGGGAGGCAGCAGUGGGGAAUAUUGCGCAAUGGGCGAAAGCCUGACGCAGCGACGCCGCGUGGGGGAUGAAGGUCUUCGGAUCGUAAACCUCUGUCAGCAGGGAAGAACGGUCACUGUGCUAAUCAGCAGUGAAUUGACGGUACCUGCAAAGGAAGCACCGGCUAACUCCGUGCCAGCAGCCGCGGUAAUACGGAGGGUGCGAGCGUUAAUCGGAAUUACUGGGCGUAAAGCGCUCGUAGGCGGUAUGUCAAGUCAAGGGUGAAAUCCCCGCGCUCAACGUGGGAACUGCAUUUGAAACUGGCAAGCUGGAGUGUUUGAGAGGGUAGGAGAAUUCCAGGUGUAGGAGUGAAAUCCGUAGAUAUGUGGAGGAACAUCAGUGGCGAAGGCGACUAUCUGGCAAAUAACUGACGCUGAGGAGCGAAAGCGUGGGUAGCAAACAGGAUUAGAUACCCCUGUAGUC